rnacentral:rRNA from 1 species
CGCGUAGGUGGCGCGACAAGUCAACGGUGAAAGCCCGGGGCUCAACCCCGGGUCGGCCGUCGAUACUGUUGGGCUUGAGCACUGUAGAGGCAGGUGGAAUUCCGGGUGUAGCGGUGGAAUGCGUAGAGAUCCGGAAGAACACCGGUGGCGAAGGCGGCCUGCUGGGCAGUAGCUGACACUGAGGCGCGACAGCGUGGGGAGCAAACA